rnacentral:rRNA from 1 species
UCGAGUGCGGUAGGGGAGAUUGGAAUUCCUGGUGUAGCGGUGGAAUGCGCAGAUAUCAGGAGGAACACCGAUGGCGAAGGCAGAUCUCUGGGCCGUAACUGACGCUGAGGAGCGAAAGCGUGGGUAGCGAACAGGAUUAGAUACCCUGGUAGUCCACGCCGUAAACGGUGGGAACUAGAUGUGGGGUCCGUUCCACGGAUUCCGUGUCGCAGCUAACGCAUUAAGUUCCCCGCCUGGGGAGUACGGCCGCAAGGCUAAAACUCAAAGGAAUUGACGGGGGCCCGCACAAGCGGCGGAGCAUGCGGAUUAAUUCGAUGCAACGCGAAGAACCUUACCAAGGCUUGACAUAUAGAGGAAAAGUGCAGAGAUGCACUCCCCGCAAGGUCUCUAUACAGGUGGUGCAUGGUUGUCGUCAGCUCGUGUCGUGAGAUGUUGGGUUAAGUCCCGCAACGAGCGCAACCCUCGUCCUAUGUUGCCAGCACGUAAAGGUGGGAACUCAUGGGAGACUGCCGGGGUCAACUCGGAGGAAGGUGGGGAUGACGUCAAAUCAUCAUGCCCCUUAUGUCUUGGGCUUCACGCAUGCUACAAUGGCCGGUACAGAGGGCUGCAAUACCGCAAGGUGGAGCGAAUCCCAGAAAGCCGGUCUCAGUUCGGAUUGAGGUCUGCAACUCGACCUCAUGAAGUCGGAGUCGCUAGUAAUCGCGAAUCAGCAACGUCGCGGUGAAUACGUUCCCGGGCCUUGUACACACCGCCCGUCAAGUCAUGAAAGUCGGUAACACCCGAAGCCGGUGGCCCAACCUUUUGGAGGGAGCCGUCGAAGGUGGGAUUGGUGAUUAGGACUAAGUCGUAACAAGGUAGCCGUA